UGGUUUUUAGGAGCAUAUACCCACGUGAAAGAUGAACUGAGGUCCACACUCCAGUCCAGUUGAUAGUGCAUCUUAAAAAUCGGUUGCCAAGCACAAUAUAAAGUCCAAAAAAACAAGAAGAAGCCUGAAGGAGGAGAGAUUACUAGAAACAAACUCGGUUUACCCUAUUAUCUGUGGAUGAAAUGUCAGAGUAGAGGAUUUUGCGCAUUUCAGAGAAGGCAGGUGGCUACUGACUCUGACUGUUUGGUCACCUGGCCAGAUUGAACCCACCUCUGGAGCCUGUCCUCAUCCUCUAAAGGCAUCCAUCCCUUAACUUACCAUGCCCAAGAGGAAGGAAGGCCUAGAGCCAGAUGGUCUGACCAGCUGGAAGACAACCUACACAACCUGGGACUCAACACCACAUCAGCCUGGGACCUGGCCCGGAAACUGGGUGGCACAGAAAGCCAAAUAUCCAGUCUCUACUCUCCAAGGAGCUAGUGAAGCAGAACUGAAUCCCGUGAACUGUAUCCCCCUCGAGGGAUUAGACGACAGGAUGGAUUUCAAGCAGAUGAGGAGCUGAAUGACAGUUUGACCAUGACAACACUCCUCCCACAGCUUUACAAUUAUUCCCUGAACUUACUGUAGGUUUCUUUUGGAAUUGCAAUUUUAUCAUGACCACCUCUCCCAUCUGCUGAUCACCAGUACUUGUGUGUCCCUACACCUGAGACACACUCGGACACACUGAACUGUACUAUGCUGUUCAUACGAUAUAUAUAUAUAUAUAUAUAUAUAUAUUUUUGAAUGUUACUUUUACCAUAACGUUGUUGAAUACCCAGAUCUCUUGAGUUAGCAUUACAUAGUGUACAUUCUCCUGUAUUUUAAUGUUGACAAAUAAACAUGAUUUGAUAUCUGAA